rnacentral:lncRNA from 10 species
GCCCCACCUCCCGCAGUUUCUGGAAGUCCCAGGACAGGGAAAAGGAGAGAAAGGCAGAAAAGAAAUUAUCGAGUGUGGCUCUUCCCUCUCCUCAGAGGAAAUUGUUCACCUGCCACCCUCGGAAAUUUAAUUUUCAGUGUUAAAACUUGAAAUUUUAUAGUAGUAUGUGUACCAAAGUUAUAAAAUGGGCAAACUUGUCUAAACGAGGAUUCCUACAUUGUUAUGACAUUUUCCCCAGAGAAUCACAAGCUCUGAGAUACACUUGUGAACCUUACUUAUGCAGACAUUCUCUUAAACUGGGAUUCUUUCUCUCAGUUUACCUUAGGCUAACACAGAAACAUAUUUUGACACAGAAAGAAUUUUUUCUCUUCAUUGCUCAAGUCACCUGGAGGCAGCUCCUGCCUGGGGUGGAUGCCUCCGACCCCUGGGAAUGACCCCUGCAGCCACCACUGAGCCCCCCACAGAAGGAGGCUCGUGCCUGGUCCAGCUUUCCCACCCGGGGUCUCUGUGGCUGGCUCCCCCCAGCUCGGGGCAGAAGCCUAAUUCAGGGUUGUUCUGCUCAGUUGAUCCAGUCGGACGCUAGGAUUUGCCUGGGGGCCCGGCCUGCCAGCAGUACAGGUGAGGGGACGCAGGCUUGGUCACAAGCACCCCUGCUGACCUUCCCUACAGACCUGGCACAUUUAAUCUUCUUCUUUGGGGAGGAGAAGAGGAUGCAUUCAGAAAUGCCUUUGCUGAUGAGGCCCUCAGGAGCUUGUACUGGAAUCACUCAAAAUUCCCAAGUAGCCUGAGUGUCCUAAUUCAUUUCUGUGUACAUCUGCCUAAUUCUCAAUCCACGUCUAAGGUUAGAAUGAACAUUUGAAUUAGCCAUUCUGGACAACACACACACGCACUAUACCAUGCAUUUAGAUCUCUCUGUACCUUGCUCGUGUCAGCACAAACGCAGCCCCUCUCUUUUCAAAAGCCCGGUUCGUUUUCCAGCAGGCGCGUGCUUUCAUUAGACUUUCCCUCCUGUGGGUUCUGGCAGAUUUCCCAACACAAGCACGGCAGGAAGUGCAUUGUGUUUGUAGAAAAUCCAAAAUAAUCUCUAGGUGAGUGUUAGGAUGAAAAAUGAAUUUAGUGUUGGUACAGGUUUUUGCUUGUUGUACUUUUUGUGGGGGAGGGUGAUAAAAAUAUUCCAAAAUUGAUUGCGAUGAUGGUUGUGCAAUUCUGUGAAUAUACUAACAAGCACUGAACUCUAUACUGCAAACAGGUGAACUGUAUGGUAUGUGAAUUAUAUUUUAAUAAAGCUGUUAUUUUUAAAAAGUAAAUUUAGCAACAACACUGGAUACAAGCUAAAUAUACAAAAAUUAAUUAUCUUUAUACAGACCAGCAACUAAUAAUUAGAAAAUGAGA